rnacentral:rRNA from 1 species
GUAGUCCACGCCGUAAACGAUGAAUGCUAGGUGUUAGGGGUUUCGAUACCCUUGGUGCCGAAGUUAACACAUUAAGCAUUCCGCCUGGGGAGUACGGUCGCAAGACUGAAACUCAAAGGAAUUGACGGGGACCCGCACAAGCAGUGGAGUAUGUGGUUUAAUUCGAAGCAACGCGAAGAACCUUACCAGGUCUUGACAUCCCUCUGAAUCCUCUAGAGAUAGAGGCGGCCUUCGGGACAGAGGAGACAGGUGGUGCAUGGUUGUCGUCAGCUCGUGUCGUGAGAUGUUGGGUUAAGUCCCGCAACGAGCGCAACCCUUGAUUUUAGUUGCCAGCACAUUAAGGUGGGCACUCUAGAAUGACUGCCGGUGACAAACCGGAGGAAGGCGGGGAUGACGUCAAAUCAUCAUGCCCCUUAUGACCUGGGCUACACACGUACUACAAUGGCCAGUACAACGGGAAGCGAAGUCGCGAGAUGGAGCCAAUCCUAUCAAAGCUGGUCUCAGUUCGGAUUGCAGGCUGCAACCCGCCUGCAUGAAGU